rnacentral:rRNA from 1 species
UGAGGAAUAUUGGUCAAUGGGCGGAAGCCUGAACCAGCCAAGUCGCGUGAGGGAAGGCGGCCCUACGGGUUGUAAACCUCUUUUGCCGGGGAGCAAUGCCCAGCUCGCGAGCUGGGAAGGAGAGUACCCGGAGAAAAAGCAUCGGCUAACUCCGUGCCAGCAGCCGCGGUAAUACGGAGGAUGCGAGCGUUAUCCGGAUUUAUUGGGUUUAAAGGGUGCGUAGGCGGUCUGUUAAGUCAGCGGUCAAAUGUCGGCGCUCAACGCCGGCCUGCCGUUGAAACUGGCGGACUUGAGUGGGCGAGA